rnacentral:rRNA from 1 species
AACGAACGCUGGCGGCAGGCCUAACACAUGCAAGUCGAGCGCCCCGCAAGGGGAGCGGCGGACGGGUGAGUAACGCGUGGGAACGUACCCUUUGCUACGGAAUAGCCUCGGGAAACUGGGAGUAAUGCCGUAUGUGCCCUUGGGGAAAGAUUAUCGGCAAAGGAUCGGCCCGCGUUGGAUUAGGUAGUUGGUGGGGUAAUGGCCUACCAAGCCGACGAUCCAUAGCUGGUUUGAGAGGAUGAUCAGCCACACUGGGACUGAGACACGGCCCAGACUCCUACGGGAGGCAGCAGUGGGGAAUCUUAGACAAUGGGCGCAAGCCUGAUCUAGCCAUGCCGCGUGAGCGAUGAAGGCCUUAGGGUUGUAAAGCUCUUUCAGU